UCAUCCCCUCUUUCUGCUCUGAAGGACGGUGGGUGGCCGCACAGCACGUGGAUUCCUGUGCAUGUCACCCUUUUUCCAUUGUGACCUUUCAUGACCACUGAAGAAGAAAAAAAAAAAAAACCCAACAACCUCUGAUCACAUCCACAACUUCAAGCCAUUUCAGGAGAGCUACAUUCUGAUCUCAAAUGUAAAAAAAACAAAAAAACAAACCGUGCCAUUAAUUUUCAGUGAUAUACGUUAUUCUUUUCCCCGAUCUUUAGAUGGAAGUUCUGCGCCCGCCCCGCAGCACCUCAGGGUCCGGCUGAAGAGAAAUAUGCUGUCUGUCACCACUUUAAAGCAUAUCAAUGUUUUUUCAAACUGUGUCUGUUGAAAUUCAGAUUGGACUAACUCCUUGAAGGUUUCCCAGUUGGCCCUGUAGUGAUUGUAUUAUGUGCGGACUGGCUGACGGAGGUUCUGCGCAUGGAGCAGCCCCGGUGUGGUCAGGACUGUCGAUCUGUGCUUUACUGGGAGAAGGGUUUAAAGAUGGAGAUGGUUCAUCUCUCGGCGUCCCUCAGGCACAUGGGAUUGCUGGUUCAGGGCCUUUUUACUUGACUUAUGUCACCACAUUUGUCUUAUAUUCUCUUUUUGCAUCAGGACGUCUGUUGUUAAAGACGUCCUCUAUUCACCCUUUUAUUUUUUUUCUCCUGUCUUAAAAGACUUUUAUACCCACGGUUCUUUGUUUGGCUUCACCAGGGAACCUGUUCAGUCCACUGCGAUACAGCCUCUUGUUGUUGAUGUUAUUAGCAGUUGUAAUGGAGACCAAAUAAUAUCAGCUGGCUACUAGCUAACUGCCAAGGCUUUGUCUGGCUACAAUUCGCAUUUUAUUAGCAAUGCCAACAACAGCAAAUAGCAUUUCUAGAUAGCCAAAAUGUGAAGUCAUUGUCCCUUUACUUGGGGUAUGCCAGUUGAACAGCGAAAUUAAAUAAUGUUGAAAAAUCACUUUUACUUUAAUUCAAUGUCGUGUUGUUAAUUUGGGUUUUUGAAUAGGUUAGUAAAUACAUGCUGUUUGUUUUUGAUAUCGGCAAGAGUCUGAAAAUAACAUGAAUGCUGCUUUAACUUUAAUUAUGUAGGACACAAAGCGUCUGCCCGUUUAAAGUUUACACAUUGUACUUAGUCUGUGUUGCCCUUUUUAUUUUUCAUUGUAUAAAAAAAAACAAACUUCAUUACAAGGUUUUCAUAUUGUAGUUUCAGUAAGAACUGGGUUCACGUCAGUGUUUUUUUUUUUUUUUAAACAUUCGGAUUAUUUAAAUGGGACAUGUUAACAGGCAACGUCCAGGAACUGUGGAGCAGUUUACUUGACCACACACACACAGGUCCACAUAUUCCACACACACACACACACAUACACACACACACAGCUAGUCCAUAUGCGUGCUCAGACGCUGAGAUCCAUACACACACGGUCCUGAAGCUAAAAGAAGGUGUUUUGAAUGGCAGUGCGCACAAAAAAGAUGAGAUGAGAAGCAUUGAUAUUCUGUGAGCACUACACUCAGCCCCAACACACACACACACACACACACACAUAUAUAUAUAAGUACAUUCAGCAACCGCACCUUAUGAUUGUCUGUGAAGCGAACAUGUCACACGUUGCUCUCGCCCUCAUGCUUCAGAACUACCUGACGUGUGCGCGCCUUGCUUCAGAGCCUGUCAUUCUGAUGUAUUUUUAAACACUACGCUCCUUUGAAAACCCCCCCCCCCAAAAAAAGAGAGAAGGCGAGAAACACGAGAUAAAACAACAGGUAUUUGAAUUUAGGCGUCACAAAUGCAUGAGUGGGACGGCACCAGCCGAGCGACGCAGCCUUAAUGACUUCCCUUCGUUUCCAUAGGAGACGGUUGUUUAUUGCAGCACUUUGGGCCUAAUCGAUGAGUGAUAGCCGCCAGUAAUCUGAGAUAAAUAGAUUCCCUUUAUGUCAUUUAUAGACUUAUUUACUCGAUAAAAGAGAGAACUUAGUUUUUGUCAACUCAGAGUAGCAGCAUUAGCCUGAUGUGACAUGAAACACAUUUAUAUUUCCUCACCCUUUUAUUGUAAGUGUGUGUGGGCUUCUUUGAUUUGACUAACUGUUGUAAAUCAAUCUGUCCCACUUGAGUAAGGAAGAUCUGGAUGGAGCCAGUGGCUUCCCCCUCCCCCCCUCCCCCCCUCCGCUCGUUUCAAGUUUAAUCUCUCACUGUGGGUUGAAGCAGAUAAUGUGUGAUUAAUUAGCAAAUGACAAAGAUUAACAAAUCUUUGAAGUGUUUUUAUUUUAUUUGUCUUUUUUUUUUUUUUUUUUUUUUAAACAGCUCCUAAUUGGAAGUGUUUUGCUCAGGGUCUUAAACACACCUUUCCCUCCAAGAGAAGGACUCACCAACGCUCUGUUAUGCAUGCGGAGAGACGCUUGCUGCGCUGUACACGAUAAAACGCAUCGCCGCCGCCGCCGCCAUGUGAAUUACACCCAGGAUGUGGCUGAAGGCAGAUGGAGGCCAUGAGUGUCAGUUCUGCUGCACUACAGUGAUGCAGCUCUGAAAUAAAUAAAGAAAAAAGCUCUCUUCCUCCCUCCCUCCCUCCCUCCGUCUCUCUGCAGCCAGCGUUCAGAUGGAUGUGCCAAUAAUCAGACAGCCACCUUGGUAAUAGGGAUAAUAACGCCGUAAUAAUUUGCAGCAGCAGCCUGGAAGGACUUUAAUAUGCAGACACUACGGGGGUGACUUACAGGAGUGUGUGUUUGUUUUUUAACGGCUGCUUUUGUAUUCCUUCUAUGUUGGGAAAAGCAAGGGGGGGGGGGGGGAACAAGGCUAAUUAUACCUUGUUCUUUAUCUUAAUGGCCUUGCAUCGUGAAACACCUUCUUAAUUUCUCUGCUUUUCUCCCUUGGGCGCUUAAAUCAUUCCCGAGGAGGAGCCUUAUGCAUACGGUGAAUGUACACAUGUGUAUCGGCGUGGACCCGCCGCCCCGGGCCCGACAUCCACCUACUUCUUAUGCAGUGCGACGCACAACACAAAUGAAGUUAAGCAAUGUGAAUAAACAGUUGUGUUUAGCUGUCUCGGACAUGUCAUUGUGGAUUUUCUGGAUUCUGGGUGCAGCCAGAGUGAAAGCAGAUGUACAUUCCUCCUCUUUGCAGGUGUGUGUGUGUGUGUGUGUGUGUGUGUGUGUGCGCGUGCGUGCAUGUGCGCAGACCUACAGCAGACACACAUUGUGCAAUCACACAUAUAUUUGUGCACACAUUACACAAAAUUAGCAGUUGUGUCUGAUAAUUUAAUCCCAUGAACAUUGUAUUUAUUAUUUUUACUGGAAGGUUUUCGUUAACGGUUUUCAGCAUCGCUGCUUCAGGAAGGUGAGCAGGCCGUCAGACGGCGUCCGGUCGCAGGCGCUCGCCACGUCACAACACAGAGGAACUGCAUAAUUGGCUUGUUUGCGAGCGUAUUAACGGCGAUGCCUCGGUUGUUAGUGCUGACAUUUCCAUACCGGGGCGUGACAUUUGAUCAAGACUCCAGCUGGAUGGGAG